GAUGGGGAGAGGAACUUGUUCCUCGAGUCGUUGAUUUCACACUGCCGAGAAAAGCCUCUAGCUAGAAUAACGGUGCCCGUACCGCAAACCGACACAGGUAGUCAAGAUGAGAAUUCUAAGGUGAGCGAGCGAACUCUCGUUAAGGAACUCGGCAAAAUGACCCCGUAACUUCGGGAGAAGGGGUGCUCUUUGAGGUUCACGCUUCGAAGAGCCGCAGUGAAUAGGCCCAAGCGACUGUUUAUCAAAAACACAGGUCUCUGCUAAACCGUAAGGUGACGUAUAGGGGCUGACGCCUGCCCGGUGCUGGAAGGUUAAGAGGAGUGGUUAGCGCAAGCGAAGCUACGAAUCGAAGCCCCAGUAAACGGCGGCCGUAACUAUAACGGUCCUAAGGUAGCGAAAUUCCUUGUCGGGUAAGUUCCGACCCGCACGAAAGGCGUAACGAUUUGGGCACUGUCUCAACGAGAGACUCGGUGAAAUCAUAGUACCGGUGAAGAUGCCGGUUACCCGCGACAGGACGGAAAGACCCCGUGGAGCUUUACUGUAGCCUGAUAUUGAAAUUCGGUACAGUUUGUACAGGAUAGGUAGGAGCCUUAGAAGCGUGAGCGCUAGCUUACGUGGAGGCAUUGGUGGGAUACUACCCUAAUUGUAUUGGAUUUCUAACCCGCAGCACUUAUCGUGCUGGGAGACAGUGUCAGGCGGGCAGUUUGACUGGGGCGGUCGCCUCCUAAAGAGUAACGGAGGCGCUCAAAGGUUCCCUCAGAAUGGUUGGAAAUCAUUCAUAGAGUGUAAAGGCAUAAGGGAGCUUGACUGCGAGACCUACAAGUCGAGCAGGGUCGAAAGACGGACUUAGUGAUCCGGUGGUUCCGCAUGGAAGGGCCAUCGCUCAACGGAUAAAAGCUACCCCGGGGAUAACAGGCUUAUCUCCCCCAAGAGUUCACAUCGACGGGGAGGUUUGGCACCUCGAUGUCGGCUCAUCGCAUCCUGGGGCUGUAGUCGGUCCCAAGGGUUGGGCUGUUCGCCCAUUAAAGCGGUACGCGAGCUGGGUUCAGAACGUCGUGAGACAGUUCGGUCCCUAUCCGUCGUGGGCGUAGGAAAUUUGAGAGGAGCUGUCCUUAGUACGAGAGGACCGGGAUGGACAUACCUCUGGUGUACCAGUUGUCGUGCCAACGGCAUAGCUGGGUAGCUAUGUAUGGACGGGAUAAGUGCUGAAAGCAUCUAAGCAUGAAGCCCCCCUCGAGAUGAGAUUUCCCAACUUCGGUUAUAAGAUCCCUCAAAGAUGAUGAGGUGAAUAGGUUCGAGGUGGAAGCGUAGCGAUACGUGGAGCUGACGAAUACUA
rnacentral:rRNA from 1 species